AUUUUCUUGGGCCGCUCCCACGGCAUAUGGAGGUUCCCAGGCUAGGGGUCUAAUCAGAGCUGUAGCCACCGGCCUACGCCACAGCCAUAGCAACGCGGGAUCCAAGCCACGUCUGCAACCUACACCACAGCUCACGGCAACACUGGAUCCUUAACCCACUGAGCAAGGCCAGGGAUUGAACCCUCAACCUCAUGUUCAUCCUAGACAAGUCACUUUACUCCUUUGUGCCUUAGCUUCCUCUCAGGCAAAAUGAAACUGCACACCACAUGGUUGUCAUGAGGAUUAAAUAGGUGUUCUAAAGCAGUGUAAUAUGCUUAGAAUACUGAUUGGUUCAGAAGAUGGAUACAAUAAAUCAUAGCUGUUGCUGUUCUUCCAUUUUCGCUACUACCAUAGCUAUUCUGUCUCCUAGUCUACCUGACAUCUCAACACUGCUAUUCCUUCAGGAUCCAGAACUUUCUUUGAGCUUCUCCAGUCUUCUUUACCUACAUUCUUGUCCAAUUAAUCUCACCAUUCACCAGGGUUUUAAAAAAUUUCAGUAAGGUUAUUAUUCUCCUCAAUACAUCUCUAGUCCUGACUUCCAUUCUAGACCUUUAUGUAUACCUGCUUCUUGACAUCUACAUUUAGAUGUUUAAUAGCUAUCUCAAACAUAAUAUAUCCAAAUGGAGGCCUGACUUCACCUAACAAAUCUAUUCCUCAAAACCCCAAUUUCCCCACCUCAGGUACUAAAAAAUUCACUUAAGGGUCAUUGUUGUCUUACUACCUUUCGCAUGAUCCACCAUCCACUUCACUGGCAAAUCCUAACAAUCUAAGUUCAGGAAAAUAUAUUUUGCUAAAAUAUAAGACAGCUUAUAAAGUUGUCAUUAUCUCUACUGUUACUUUCCUAGACUAAUAUGCCAUUAUCUUUCACCUGAAAUGCUAUUAUUUCCUACAAAAUAGUCUUUUUGCUAACUACAUUAGUAGUCCACUCAUUGUACCUAGAAUAGAGCUGAGCACAAUUGCUUCUAAAGUAGCACUUGUUAUAGAAAUUAAUGAAAACAAACAUGCCUCCCUCCCUUACAUAAAGAAGGCAAUUUAUUUAAAAACUUUAAAUUGAUUCUGUCAAAUUUUUUAAAAAAAAUAUUUAUUUAAAAUCAUCUCCAUUCUCAAAUUGGGCGAUAGUAAAUUCAAGAAUGCUAUGACACUAGCUUUAUAAAUAAAACAGUUUCUUUAUCCAUGUUGACUCCAGGUCUUUUUUCUAAAACUAGCAUUAAGCCUGCAUUAAAGGAGUUCUUGUAAAAGACGUAUUAACAUUCCUUAAUUACUCCACAAGAAAUAGCCUGAUAAAAAGAAAAAGCAAUAGUCAUCUCAGCAGCAAAAAGUAAAAGCAAUUAUUUUUCUUUUGAAGUACCUUACUGGAAGGUGACAAGUGUAUAAGAUCAGGCAGAGGAGUCACGGUACUUAUCCCAAUAUGACAAUUCAUUGGUGACAGCAAAAACCUGCAGAGAGUUUCAUCAUGUGGUCAUCAAGUCCUGCCAAAGAAGCAAUAAUCUCUAAAAGAAUACUAGCAGAGAGGUUUAGGGAAACCUGUGAGCCAAGAAGAAUAGUGUUUUGACAAGGGGCGUAGAAAUUUAUUGGGAAAGUUAGCGUGAGGGUAAAAACUGAUUCUCAAAAGGGACAAAGUAAAUAUUCAUCUCGGGCAAAAGUUUAUCAAAAGGAAAAGGGAUAGGGGAUACGUGAGAAAAUAAAUUGUUUACAUCAACACAGGGUAUCUGAAAGUCUUGAUGCCUUUCAAAAUGAGCUGCACAUAUUUUUUAAUUGUUUGAAUUAAGGUUAGGAAACAAAUUUAAUUGUGAACUACCUCCAAACUGACGAAAAGAAACCACAGAAAGGGAAGCAAAAGUUACACAACAUGCUGAAAUUCAUGUGCCAUUGAUUAUUAAUAAUUUUGCCUUAGUUGAUGACAGUGAUGGAUUAGAAAGUUGUCUUCCUUUAGAUAGGCAUCUUUGAUUCAGAAUGUAAAAAUAUAAAAAAUAGAUACUUUUGAUUAUGAUAUCAUUUGUCAACUUCUGGGAGUGAAUUAACAUAAUUGCAUCUUGCUCAUAGAUAGGGGUAUUUUUGAGUAGGAUUGCAUUAACAAUAAUAAGUAAGUAGAACAUUGAAAGCUGGGUAUUGAUCAUUAUGAUUUACUGUAAACGGCAAUUUAGAGGUGUAUAGUUGGAGCCACAAUUUGCAUUAGAAAAUAAAUGCAAUGUGGGAAAAGCUGGAAAAAAAGGAUUUUAUGAUUGCAACUGAGGUUCUCUUCCUUUCCCUGCAAUAACAGCAAUGCAGACAAAAAUUGCCAGAGAAUGGGGAUCAAGCGAGGCAUUAGAUUUUAAGUGAGAACUGAAUCAUUAAUAAAACAUCGCAAUUUCUAACUUUUCUCAAGUGCAACAGACCCAUCAAUUUUGGUUUAUUAAGAAUGUGGAAAGGUCUGAGGCUAUCAAAUACUUGGACUUAAAUUUGUAAUUCUAAUAAACUACCCAUGUAAUGUAAAUUUAUGUUUUUAAUCAGCUUUGCUAUGGCAUUUGGUACUUUAAGCCACUCAAUCUGUUUAUAAAAAUUAAACAAAAAAAUUACAUUUAUAGUAUUUUUAUUAAAUAACCUUUGUGGUAAACAGCUUCAGAAAAUAAAACAACUGCCAUAAGUUUCCAUGCUAAACAGAUGUACCUGUUUAAUUUAAAUUCAUUUAUGUAAAAAAGUACCUUUAUACAUGUCUUUAAUUUUUCACAUAAUUAUGUUUCCGUAUUGGGGAAUCUUUGCAGAAAGUGUUUUAUGCAAAAAAUCUAAACACCAUAUGUAACCAAAUCAAAAGCCCAAUUUUUUUUUGGCUCUUACAUUUAAAGAGAGAUUUGGCUUUAAGUUCAGUAUAUUUAUGAUAUAUCUGCAAUCACAUUGAAAAUACUUUCCACAUAAGCUGAGUAGUACAUUUUCCAGAAUGUAAUUCAUAUAUUAGGAUUCAAAAUCUGUUUUGAAAAGUCUAUGAUAAGAACUUUUCCCUAGUUUCAUUCAUUUACACAAUUUAUAUGCCAUGGAUAAUCAAGUGCUGUAUUCACAGUUCAAUUACAAUUGGUAGGACAUCAUAGUAGCUACACUAUAACAACUUUUCCUUGAAGUAGGAAAUGUGGUAUACCACAAUAUUGUUAUCUCUGAAAUAGCUCACCUUUUUGAACUUACAUUAAUUGAAUUUGAGCAAGAAAGGCAAGCCCUUAUGACCCACAACUUGUUACAAUGUAUUUAUUAUUACCAAGUCUAAUGACAAAAGUGAAGGAUACUUUUCUCCUUUCUUCCAAGUAUAUCCCCAUUCUUCACCUAUUUGUUUACUACAGCUAGGUUAGAUGUUUUCAUCCAGUAACAGUUCAGUAACACUUAUUUUUCCUAAAAUACUAAAAUAACACUUACACAGUAAUAGUCAUAAAUUAUUUUUCCAGGGUAUAACUUCCAGGAGGCGGGCUCAUAUACAGACAGGGUACAGGGUACAGCUUAGUUAGAGGAUGUUCCAUAACAGUGGACUGCGAAAAUAAUGGCCAGCUGAUGAUCCUAUAACAGAUCGAAGUGAUUUGCAAAAGAUAAUGAAAUUUAAGUUACUCAUUGAAAUUCAUCCAGUGAAUAAAGAAAUAAUUGUUUCACAGAGAAAUUAAGUGUUAUUCCUUAUAACAUGCUGCUUAACUCUACCUCUUUUUGUUUCUACUUUAAUUAGACUUCAUGCUUUUUUUGGUACUUAAUCCCAUAACAUGCACAGCUCAAAGAGACUAAUAUGAUCUGUUAGUAAUAACAAGUGAGAUAUCUCAAGAUGGAGUCUUAAGUGGCUUGCAUUGAAAAUGACAGUAUUUUUCUU
rnacentral:lncRNA from 1 species